AGCCUAAACCUUUAGAAAUAAAGGCACGGCGAAGAAAGUCAGAACAUGCAUAAAGAACCCAUCAUGGGGUCGCAUGUUCUGCCGUAUCGGGAAACUGAUAUGAGUGGCGCAAGCCACU
rnacentral:sRNA from 1 species